rnacentral:rRNA from 1 species
GACGAACCGUACGAACGUUAUUCGGAAUCACUGGGCUUAAAGGGUGCGUAGGCGGCGGCGCAAGUUGGGUGUGAAAUCCCUCGGCUCAACCGAGGAACUGCGCUCAAAACUGCGUCGCUUGAGGAAGAUAGAGGUGAGUGGAACUUAGGGUGGAGCGGUGAAAUGCGUUGAUAUCCUAAGGAACACCAGUGGCGAAAGCGACUCACUGGGUCUUCUCUGACGCUGAGGCACGAAAGCUAGGGUAGCGAACGGG